CUUAGCAUUGUAAACAUUCCAGAAAGCUACCUGGGGAAGCUUAACUCAAUGCAGUGGGUAAGAGUGUAUCAUGGUGGGAGAGGCAUGACAGCAGGCAUCUGGAGCAGUAAACUAAGUAAUAACAUCUUCAACUACAAGCAGAAAGUAGAGAAAAAACUGAAGGCAGGUCCCUGAAGUCAGCUCUGGAAAGCUGAGAAGAGCGCUGCGCUCAGAAUGCUUCGCGGGAUGUUUUUUUUUCUUUUCCCACAGACAACUGGAACCUUGAGAGCCAAGGGAGAUUGUGGAGAGGAUGUGAGCAGAUGGCCGCUGAGGAUAGCUGACCGGGUGGGCUGGAACCCAGGCCAGGACCUGCCACCUGAGGAUUGUGCCUGCGAUGUCCAGAUGAUGGUGAGCAGCCGAACAGGGAGCUCUGCUCUGUUGAAAAUCAUCAAGUUGAAAAUGAGAAGAGAUAAAACCUUAAACACAGGAGAAUAUUUUAUCUUUGGUGAAAAGUACAACUUAAGAUUUAUUUUAUUUUUUUAUUCUGUAUAUGUGUGUGGGUAUGUGCAUGCAAAUUUGGGUGACCCUGGAGGUCAGGGCAUCAGAUGACUUGGAGCUAGGAUUAUAGGAAGUUGAGAGCUGCCAAGCAUAAAAAUCUAACUAAUGUCCUCUGAUCAGAGUGUAUACCUAACUGCAGAGCCAUCUCUCCAGCUUAAGGAGGACUUUUAGAAACAAGAUUGAUAGAGAACACAAAGGUAAUAAUUUAAUGUGUUUAAAAUGUUAAUUUUUAGUCACUAUAGACACUAGAAAUAAUAUUUACAGUGUAUAUAAUGCAUGUAAUUAUAAAACUAGAAGUAACAAUAUUAAAUAUAAAUGAAGUAUUAUAAGUCAGAUAAGAGAGAUAGGCACCCCAGUAGGAAAAAGCCUAUUAAAGUAACUAAAAUGGGG